rnacentral:rRNA from 1 species
GAUGAACGCUGGCGGCGUGCCUAAUACAUGCAAGUCGAGCGAACAGACGAGGAGCUUGCUCCUCUGACGUUAGCGGCGGACGGGUGAGUAACACGUGGAUAACCUACCUAUAAGACUGGGAUAACUUCGGGAAACCGGAUCUAAUACCGGAUAAUAUAUUGAACCGCAUGGUUCUAUAGUGAAAGACGGUUUUGCUGUCACUUAUUGAUGGAUCCGCGCCGCAUUAGCUAGUUGGUAAGGUAACGGCUUACCAAGGCAACGAUGCGUGGCCGACCUGAGAGGGUGAUCAGCCACACUGGAACUGAGACACGGUCCAGACUCCUACGGGAGGCAGCAGUAGGGAAUCUUCCGCAAUGGGCGAAAGCCUGACGGAGCAACGCCGCGUGAGUGAUGAAGGUCUUCGGAUCGUAAAACUCUGUUAUUAGGGAAGAACAAAUGUGUAAGUAACUAUGCACGUCUUGACGGUACCUAAUCAGAAAGCCACGGCUAACUACGUG